rnacentral:tRNA from 4 species
GCCCAAAUAGCUCAAUUGGUAGAGCAACUGAUUUGUAAUCAGUAGGUUGGGAGUUCGAUUCUCUCUUUGGGCACCA